GCCAUGUCGGCCAUGAGAUAGGCCCCGUUGUCGUCGGCGAUCUUCCGCAUGCGGGCGUAGUCCAGGUUCCGCGAGUAGCAGCUGACACCUGCGGGGACAGGAGCCACAGCAGAUGUCACCCUGCUGAGAUUGUCCCAUGUGUGGCCAAGGACAGAGGCUGAGAAGGUCAGAGCCUGUCCUGGAAGAGCCUGGCUGCCAGCACAAGGACACUGCUUCUUCUCCUCUGAGGAUCCCAGGGCCUCCAGGACUGCUCGGCUUGCAAAGUUCUCCGAUGCAAUUAACUCCAGCCCCAGCCUCUGCCGCUGCUUCUCCUUCUUGAUGAUGCUGUGCACCUUUGGGAGAGGAGAGAAA